GACAGAGGUUGCAAACGUUGUUCGGAAUCACUGGGCAUAAAGCGCACGUAGGUGGUCCGCUAAGUCGAUUGUGAAAUUCCCCGGCUCAACCGGGGAACUGCAAACGAUAGUGGCGGGCUUGAGGUCCGGAGGGGUGAGUGGAACUCCUGGUGGAGCGGUGAAAUGCGUAGAUAUCAGGAGGAACACCGGUGGCGAAAGCGGCUCACUGGCCGGAAUCUGACACUGAGACGCGAAAGCGUGGGGAGCGAACAGG
rnacentral:rRNA from 1 species